rnacentral:pre_miRNA from 1 species
UGAGAACUGAAUUCCAUGGACUGUUCCACUCGCAGCCUCAGUCCACAGGGUUCAGUGCUCCA